UUGGCUGGGGCGGCACGUCGGGGGAACAAUACCGCAGAUGUUCGAAGUCAAGCUUAAUGAGAUCAGAAAUCUAACGUCGACUAAAAGGGGAAGGCUGCCUGAUUUUGAUUUUCAGUACGAGUGCAAGCUGUGAAGGCAUGGCCUAUCGAUUCAUUGGGUCUCAGAAACUCUCAGCUAGAG
rnacentral:ncRNA from 1 species